ACGCUCGACACCUACUGGAGGCAGCAGUGGGGAAUAUUGCACAAUGGGGGAAACCCUGAUGCAGCGACGCCGCGUGAGCGAAGAAGUAUUUCGGUAUGUAAAGCUCUAUCAGCAGGGAAGAAACUGACGGUACCUGACUAAGAAGCACCGGCUAAAUACGUGCCAUCAGCCGCGGUAAUCUGAGCGGGCUGGCAAGGC
rnacentral:rRNA from 1 species